GCCAGACCUGUGCUAGUAAUGGCAAUAUUUGUAAUUACCAGCUGCAGUCGGUUUCUGUAUGUGUAUAUAUAUAAAUGAAAAUGAUCAGCAAAGGUGCUUCAGACUACUUCUGUAUUAGAAUGUUUUGCUGGUGUGUUAACAAAGCUCUUUUAAUAUAUGGCUUUUUAAGUGGUAUCUGUUUACGUACCUUAAAGCCACUCAGUUGUUACACACACAGUGAUUCAUGAGACAGCAAGUGAAGAGAAAGCAAGCAGGGGAACUAGUUGAUACAAAGAGAUGUGAUCAAGGAUACUGGGAUUGGCUAAUAAGGGAUGAAAACCAGUAUUUGCAGAGGGUAGAUGUGAUGAUUUCUGUUUGUGAGUAGCAGAUCUGUGAUUGGUUGGUAUAAUUUUUGCAUGCAGAGAAGUAGCGGGACCUUUGUGCCCCGGCAUGGUUUCACAGAGAGCAGUGUUCAGAGAAGGCUGGUGCAUCUGUGCUGGCUGGGCUUCAAGGGAUGCAUCUCCAGGUCACACUGUUCAGUGUGUGGCAAGGAGUAAGCAGGAGCAGAGGAACACUUGCACUUGUCUGCCUGGGAGCUGUGAGUGUCCUCCUUCCAGCCUUUGCCUUGCAUCGAGUUUAAUCAAAGCUGGUUAAGAGAUGUUAGAAAUAUUUUUCCAUUUAAUUUGCUGUGUUGAAGCUACCUCCUGGAGAGUUCAGUAACGUCCCCUGUUUAUACAGCCCUGAGAUUGUCUGCAUGAGUCACAGGUGGAGCUGGUGCUGUUACACAAUUGCUCUGUCACCAGCUGCAAGCUGGUUGUCUUUGUGCAGGCUUACUGCGGGAGUUUUGUCCACACCAGAGAUCACUUGGCAGCAGGCGGAGGUGGCUGUUCGCUCCCCAGAUAUUGGCUAUAUUGCUUAAUAGUCUGAGUGCUCCAAGCCUGUGCUAUUUGCCAGAGCAGUCGGCACAGAACAGUGUUCAUAGCUCCAGGGGCUGCUUUAGUGACACUGAUUGCACACCCUAGUUAGAACUACUACUACUACUAAAUUUUCACUUCUUGGAGUGAUGUUUCUGUCCUCGCAGCUACUCGCCAGUCUGCAAACAGCAUGCCAAACUCUUCAUUUGAGUGACUUUGCACUUGUGAGGUGUUUUAGAACAUGUGAGGUUACUAUGACCCUGCUUUGUUCUUUCUGAUUAAACUUACCCAAGAGUUACCUUGGCAAAGUAUCUACAGCUUUUAGGGGUCAUGAUCUCGCAAUAUUUCAGUGUGAACUUCCUGGUGAGUGCUUCACUGUGGUAUGAAAAGGUGCCUUUUGCAAAAAUGCUUACCUUGCAAAGUUAAUGGUACUGUAAAAGAUAAAAGGGAGCAGGAAGGUCAGAGGAGAGCAAGGGACGUUCAUUUCUGGUCCGUUUUUCCUGCUCUGCUGGCUCUCAGGGGUUUGUAGGUGACUAACACCACCUGGCUGAGGUGUUAAUCUUUGUCCAUAAUUAAAGCCAGGGUUAUUUUACUGUCUGUAGAUGUUUUAAAAAACAAACCCUGCUUCAGGAGGUGGUGGUAACUAAGCUGUGGUUGCCUUGUGUAACGGGAUGACCUUAAACUGUUGAAAGGAACUUUUAUUGCUUUGUUUUCUUCUGGGCCUGGAGAUUCUUAAGGACUGAACGUUACUGCUCUUGUAGGACAGCUUGGGGGGUGGAUACUUGCUCUACUGCAGCAUGUUCUGUGUGCACGGUCCCUUCGUUAACACCGUACAAAGCUUCUGCUCAUGGCAGCUUAGAAUCCAGGUUGAAAAGAGAGGUAGGAGAGGAGAGCUGUGGAAUGUGGAACAGGAAAGCAGUGUUUUUCUCUAUCACGGGAGCUCAGAUAUCUUAUUAACCUGUGCAAACAUACCCUAAAAUGUUACCUCUUCUCUCUCCUAGAUUAGUUUCCAGCCUGUGGGAUGUGGAUUAAUUCUAAAGGGUCUGUAGGAAGUCACCAGAAAUGUCUCUCUGCCUCUGCAAUAAGAAACAGUGACAUCUGAGGAUUCUUUGCUGUGGUGUAGGAGGGGCUGAUUUCUGUGGCAGUUUCACUUGAGUGCAGAAGCUGAGCCCCAUGAAUAGUGCAGCCGAUAUCAGGAAGAAACUGGAGUUGUAGAAAACGUAGCGGAAAUCAUUUGUUACAUCCACCAGGAGACCUGAAAUAGAAGUCAUGCUUAGUCAAAG